rnacentral:piRNA from 1 species
AGACAGUGUCAUGAUUUACUGCUGAUCAUC